CCUGGUGCUAAUGGCGAUGUGGAACCACUCUCAUCCAUCCCGAACUGAGAUGUGAAACGCGUGAGCGGCGAAGAUAGUUGGAGGGUAGCCUCCCGCAAAAAUAGCUCAGUGCCAGGG
rnacentral:rRNA from 1 species